rnacentral:lncRNA from 1 species
UGGCAACCCGCUCCGGUGUCCUUCCAUGCUGUGGAGGCUCUGUUGUUUCGCUCUUUCUACUGCUUACUCUUCGGGUCCACACUGCUUUUAUGAGCUGUAACACUCACCCUGAAGGUUUGCAACUUGACUCCUGAAGCCAGCAAGACCACGAGCCCCAGGGAGGAACGAACAACUCCAGACGCGCUGCCUUAAGAGCUGUAACACUCACCGAGAAGGUCUGCAGCUUCACUCCUGAGCCAGCGAGGCCACGAACCCACCAGAAGGAAGAAACUCUGAACACAUCCGAACAUCAGAAGGAACAAACUCCAGACGUGCCACCUUAAGAGCUGUUAACACUCACCGCGAGGGUCCGCGGCUUCAUUUUUGAAGUCAGUGAGACCAAGAACCAACCAAUUCGGGACACAAUACCAACUCUUUCAUGCCAGGAGAAGCCUCCUUAAAAAAUUUCGGUGAUUAACAGCAGCACAUGGGUCAAAAUCUCCUGAAAGUUGAGCAGGGGAGCUGUAGAAGAAUUCCUCCUUUUCUCGCAGAUGAAAUCUUAUGAUAUAGCAGGGGUUACCUGGCCAAGAAGGAACACAGAGGAGAACAAAGAAAAUUCAAGGAACUAAAUUCCUUCUCCACCUCAACCACCAGCAUUGAUACUCCAUCACUUAUGUACUGCAUCAAGCCGUCCUCAGAGGUGAGGAAGGUGCUGUCAAGACUAGAAGCAUGUGUCCCUCUCUCCAUUGCAAGAUGGGACAUAGAGAGGAGAAAAGUGGCAGACAGAAGGCUAAUCUCAACUGGAAACCAGAAGGCUAGAAAUCUUACUGAUGUGAUGUCCAGGGAUACAGAGCAUAUGAAGGAUGCAGAGAGUGGGUCAAAUGGAAGGAAUGUAGCAAAACAUGUAAACUUGAUACCAAAGAGAGGAAAAAAACAGCACAUCUCUCAUUGCAUGGCUCUUCCCGGCCAAGACACUCUGCCGACUGUGAGAGGACCAAGGGUGAAAGCAAAAAGAUCAACUGGGAGACUCCUGAAAUAAUCUUGACAAUGCCUGAGGGUGGCUUAGACCAAAGUAGAAGCAGUGAAGAUAACUGAAAGUUGUUGAAUUGUGGACAGAUUUCAAAGAGUCUUGCAGGUGUCCGGACCGGCUGGUGUCUCCUGGAGCAAACCAGCCCUCCUUCUUGUGGUAGGCAACUGCCUGGGUGCUAACUCCUCGGUGACAGCAGUGUAAAUGAUUCCAUUGGUCUUCUAGGAGGCAGGAACUUCACAGACCUCAGUGCAUAAUAACAAAUUCAAUGCUUAACAGGACUUGUCAUGCAUGGAAGGAGCUGCGGUCGCCACCACAGUGGUCACAGGACCACAAGUGUGAAGUGAAGAGCUGGCUCUGACAGUGAUUGC